rnacentral:rRNA from 1 species
UACGGAGGGGGCUAGCGUUGUUCGGAAUUACUGGGCGUAAAGCGCACGUAGGCGGCUUUGUAAGUUAGAGGUGAAAGCCCGGAGCUCAACUCCGGAAUUGCCUUUAAGACUGCAUCGCUCGAAUCAUGGAGAGGUGAGUGGAAUUCCGAGUGUAGAGGUGAAAAUUCGUAGAUAUUCGGAAGAACACCAGUGGCGAAGGCGACUCACUGGACAUGUAUUGACGCUGAGGUGCGAAAAGCGUGGGGGAGCAAACAGGG